UGAGACAGGGUUUCUCUGUGUAGCUUUGGAGCCUGUCCUGGAACUCGUGCUGUAGACCAGGUUGGUCUCGAACUCACAGAGAUCCUCCUGCCUCUGCCUCCCGAGUGCUGGGAUUAAAGGCACACUCCACCACCGUCUGGCAUGGAGUAAAUUUUUUAACGUAAGUGUUUUUCUUGAGACUUGGCUAUUUUUGUGUAAGGCACAAUAGGUCAUCAGGGGUUAGGGUCCAAAUGUCUACGUAAAACAUGAGUCGGUCUCCAAACGUUUGAGGCUGAAGAAAGUAUAGGAAUUUUGUUUUGACUUCUAGCAUUUUUGUCUCUAAAUUUCCUCAAUCAGGUCAAAUUGAUUAUAAGGGAGAAAAAUCUGUCUUUGGAGCUACCUUGGGCUGAGAAGGCAGGAGCACCAGAGGACACUAAUUGGCAUUGUUGGUCUGUUAUAGGUUGUAGAACCGUAAGACUUAAGCUUGAGGAGAGGAAGUGGCCAGUGUAAGAGGUCAAAAGGGCCAGACCAUGACACAACAUUUAGAGAUAGGGGUUGGUGGUGAUGGUCAUGGUUGAUAUCUCUGAGUUAAUUGCAUCUGUAGCUGAAGGGCCAGCAAUCCGAAAGAUACCAAUUACUCCAGAAGGUUACAUACGCAAAGGCUGAGAUCACAAACCAGAACAGAAACAAGAAAGGAACUGAAACCCAUCUGGAGAUGUUACCCAGGAUGUCCAACUAGGACGUCCAUUGAAUUCUGGAAGACACAAAUGUGAUUAGCCACUGCAGGAGGCAAGGACCAUAGAUACAGGGAAGACUAAGGGGUAUGACUAGAUGGGUAAGGGGGCAAGCCAUCACUGUGUCUAUCCAAACAGUGAUAUUAAGAGAAAAACUGGCAAAACUGGCAAUGGGGAUAAAGCACAGAAGAGCAUCCCAGGCCUGGGAUGAAGGAGCUGCAUUCUUUAGUGAAGAGUGCAGGAUGGAUGGUAAGAGCCUAAUGUGUCUGUCAUGGAGGCAGAGGAUUCAUCUUAGUUUUUCCUCUAGAUGCCCAUGUAGGGCAGGAGAAUCAAGACAGUUGAUGGUGAUGGCGAAAGUUAGGGGGAGGAGAUCAUCUUCUGAGGGUUGAGACUCAUAGGCGGACUUUAGGGAUAGGCUUUGGUUUUGUUUUUCUUAAAGGUUGUAUUUAUUUUAAUUUUAAGUGCCUGAAUGCUUUGCCUGCAUGCAUGGGUCACAUGCAUGCCUGGUCCUCGUGGAGGUCAGGAGAAGGCACCAGGUCUCCUGAAACUACAGUUACAGACAGUUGUGAGCUGCCAUGUGGUACUGGGAACCAGACCCAGCUCUUCUUUAAGAGCAGCCAGUGCUCUUAAUUGAUGAACCAUCUCUCCAGCUCCCCAGGGAUAUGUUUUAAAGUUGAGUAACAUGAGGGGGUACAAGUCAAACCUGUGGAUGAUUACAACAGACCCAACUCUGAUGAAGACUUUUUUCCUAGUGAUAAUGAAGGAGAGUUUAAACAGAGAGUUGGAUUUUUUUAUUUACUCAGAACUAGACAAAAUAGCGUUGGCAGUAGAACAUUUUUAAAAGAUGUUAGAGCAAUAAAAAAGGGUUUGAGCCAGGUGGUGGUGUUGCACGCCUUUAAUUCCAGCACUCGGGAGGCAGAGGCAGGUGAUUUUUGUGAGUUCAAGGCCAGCCUGGGGUCUACAGAGCGAGAUCCAGGAAAGACACAAAGCUACAUAGGAAAACACUGUCUCGAAAAACCAAAAAAAAAAAAAAAGGGUUUGCUUAGUGGGGCACAGCAAGAGUGAGUAUAAGUGUUAUGGGGCAUCUCUCAUUUGGGUAAUUCUAACAUCAGGAUCCAUAGAUUUGCUUAGUAAGACUUGGCAAUAUCUUUUUAAAAAUGGCUGAAGCUGAGCUGAAUGAGGCCAAGAGGCUAACCCCUUCGGAGACAGUCUUGGAGAUUCACAAAGGGCUCCUUUGAUCGUUUACCCUUUUUCUCUGCUAAUUGUUCUAUCAGCUGGAAUGGCCUAGAAUUCUGCUGACCAUGUAGGUUCCUUUGGAAGCAUACACACACACACACACACACACACACACACACACACACACACACACACACACACACGCAUGCUCUUCAUUGAAGAAUGUGAACUUGUUAGAGUACAAACCAUGGUGUCUCCGUGGCCUCUCUAAUGAGGACAACAGACAAUUUACUAUCCUUGUAGGGCCUUUUUAGAGGGGUUCUGUUGUUCCCUGGGCUCUGGCUAACAUGGGAAGGCAAAGGCUGAAUGUUGGCUGUCCUUUCUGCUCCUUUUUAUCUUUGGUUUAGUCUUUUAAGUUUUCAUUGUUGAACACCCAGAAGGACAGCUAUAUCGGACUUGAGGAAAUAAUGGAUUUCGGUUUUAACUUCUGUGUAAUGCUUUGACACUGCUUAGAUGAAAGCAGAUUUGGAAAUGAAUUGUGGAAGGGUGGGUGGAGCCUAAAUUCAGAAAGGAGACCGAGAGAGUGAUAGCUGGAGAUGAAGAAGGACAGAAGGUAGACGAAGGGCCACGUGGGUCAUGAAAGAAGAUACAAAGCUACUUUUUUUCCUCUCUAGAUUCAAUUCCAUCAAAACUCAGCGUCUAGUCUUUCAACCUCCAAUUUAAACCUGAGAAGUAUGAACAGUUGUGACCGGCUAUUCCGCUUUCCCAUCCACCAAAGGGGACAGAAUUGUGGAAGAUGCUCUUGGUGCCCAGGGAGGCCCUAGCUGGCUGCAGUUACCAGACUGGAAGAGAAAUUCCUUUUCCUCUUCGAGGCCAGUCUUGAAUGUUGCUUGUGAACCACUCCCUAAACCUUGGCUGACCCAGGAAUCCUUCUGCUGCUCUCAGCAUCUUCUACUGCCUUUGACUCUGUCCAAGUCACUCACAGUGUAAGCCAUAAUAAAAGGGCCUGCCAUGGCUUCUCCUCCAGAUAGUGUCCUAACUCGCUUCUCCAUCAAAUGUGUAGGGGACAGUUAUGCCACACCUCUCAGACGAUCUAGAUUCUUCCUUCUUCUUUUCUAACCGGAGUCCCUUCAAAUAGGUCUAUUCCUAGACAUGUUGAAUAGUUUAGAAGUGGGUACUUGAUCCACCAUUGCUGGGGAUGCUGUAAAUGUGUUGCUCUAAUUGAUUGAUAAUUGAUAGCCAGGCAGGAAGUAUAGUGUAGGCAGGAUAAGGAGAGAGGAGAAUUCUAGGUUGUGGAAGGCUGAGUCAGAAGACACUGCCAGCCACCGCCGCCAUGAGAAGCAAGAUGUAAGGUACCAGUAAGCCACAAGCCACAUGGCAACUUAUAGAUUAAUAAAAAUGGGUUAAUUUAAGAUAUAAGAACUAGAUAGCAAGAAGCCUGAUCCAUUAGGCCAAACAGUUUAAAUAAUAUAAGCGUCUGUGUGUUUAUUUGGGUCUGAGUGGCUGUGGGUCUGAGCAAGACUGGAGAAAACUCCAACUACACACCAUAUAAGUGAUGUUUCCCCUGGUUUGUUUCAAAAUGUUUUAUUUAAUUUUUUACAUUCUCUUCUGUCUCUGUCUCUGUCUCUGACUCUGUCUCUCUCUCUCUGUAGUGUACUGUAUGUGUUCAGGUAUGUAUGUCUGUGUGCACACUCGUGGAGGACAGAGGGAGAACUUUGAUGCCUUGCUCUAUCAUUACCUUAUUUCCUUGACGCAGGGUCUCUCACUGAACCUAAAGCUCAUCCUUCAGAUAGACUGGCUGGCAUCAAGCUCCUGGGAUCUCACUCCACUCUGCCCCAAGCUCCCAGUGCUGGGAUUACAUGCACAUGUGACCAGGCCAGCUUUAAAGAAAACAAAAGCAUCUAUGCUAGAGAUCUAACUCGAGUCCUCGUGCUGGCACCGCAAACUCGCUUACCCAUCAAGCCUUCUCUCCAUGCCCCUUUCUCUAUUUUCAAAAGCUAUGUUGAAAUUGUUAAAUGAUUCUUCCAAAGGUGCAUUUUUUUUUGGAGUUGUUUCCAGUUUGGGGCUGUUCUGAAUAAAGCUGUUAUAAACCAUUGUUUGUUAGCCUUUUUGGAGAUCUUUCUUUUUAUUCCUCUUGGAUAAAUAAACGGCUAAGAGUGGAAUUCCUGCAUUACAGGUGUGAGCUGAAAAUCUCAGAAAAAGGUCACAUUUAAUGUUAAACAUUCUAUAAGGCUGUGAUUAUUAUAUUAUAUAUUACAUAUAUUAUAUCAUAUCAUAUCAUAUCAUAUCAUAUCAUAUCAUAUUAUAUUAUAUCAUUGGUAAACUGCCAUAUGCUGUUUGAACUCACUGAGAAGUUGGCUUUUGGAAGCAAGCUGUCUUCCACUUCAGACCCAAACAUAUUUACAUAUUUAUGUCAAGUGUCCUCCAAAGUAUCCUUUCCUGGGUCAGGCUGUGCCCCCACUUCCAUCUCCACCCCGCCACCCCUGUUCUGUAACAGGAAAAGGAAGAACAACAAGAAGCUUAGGGAAUGAAAAGCACGAUGCUCCUAGAAGCAUCUAGAAGACAAACUCUUUCCAAUAGGCAUGAUGAGUCUUUAUUCUAUGAUAUAAAAAGACCUUCCAUGGAAAUGGGAAGCCAGAAAUUCAGCCAUGGAAAGCUCAUCCACGGGAAUGAGGGAGAGGACCCACUGCUCAGGAUCGACCAAUCAGCGGUUCCAACUGAGUGGCUCGACUCCCCACUCAGUUCCUGCUGGAUGAGUAUCAGCACCUAAUGUGAUAGUGUUGUCCAUUUAUCUGCUGCCAUUUGUUCUUUUAUUUGGUGGUGUUACCCACAGAAACAGUCUGCUCCACCCAAAACUCUCUCGAUUGGGAAGCCAGCUGGCCAUCCCCAUGGGGCUUCCCAAUCUGUUUCUGCUGGAUGUUUAUAAACCCCAAUGUUACCUUCUGUUUGCUCUCUCAGAUGGGCCACUGAAGUCAUUAGCCCUGAAUGUUGUGAGCUCCUGAUUUGAUGAUGUUUGUUUGAUGUUUGUUUGAUGCUCUGUCUAUCUACCUAUUUUGGCAUGCAUUUUUGACUCUAUUUUUAUUUAAUAAACUUGCUCACUCAAAACUGAAA